UUUCCCCCACCCCCCACCCCCACUUGCCUUAAGAUUUUGUAUUUUGUGUGAAAUCAUUAAAGAUGAGGAUGCUGUCUGGGCUUUGGAAGGCCAUGCUGUAUCUGGCACUGUUGGCUUGGACUGUCCCAGGAAUGCCUCUUUGGGAUGGUCUCGGUUCACAUGGCAGGUCUCAGUUGAGUGUCUCUGAUCUUGCCACAGUCUGCUAAAUUUGGGAGGCUUUGGCAUCCAACAUCCGCCUGCCUAAGCAGCACGUGGGCUUCCCACCAAACCUUCUCAUCUGUCAUAAUAGAGGGAGAUGUUGCAGAUGCUGCAGAGCAAUCUUUACCAAAAGGAAGGAACUUCCCUUUCUCCCAUCCCUUAGUCACAGGAAAUAAAUUUAGUGAGAAUUUAGUGGGCAAAUAAAUAGUGAAAGUUGUACCUAUUUCUGUCGCAUCAACAACAUUUAUGACAGUAAAGGAAAUAAAAGGAAAUUGUUUCCCAUGGUCUUUGAACCAAGAUGCAUCUGUUUUUAUCAUCUCUUUCCUUCUGGUCUUUGCCUAAUUGUAUAAAUAUUUCUGCUGAUGGUAAUCAUAGGAUAUAGACAGCGUUUUUGUAAUGGUGUUUCAUUUAACAGAUGUUUUUCCAUGUUCCUAAAUGGUUUUUUAAUUAUACUUUUAAUGACUACCUUAUAAUGUAUCAUUAUACUUUAUGCUCUAUUGUUGAAUAUUUGAAUUGUUUUCAGUACUUUCUUGUUACAAAAAGUGUUAUGAUGUACAUAUUUACACAUAGAGCCUUUGUUUCUCCUUGAUUUUAUUGUCUUUGAAUACCAAGUGAAAUUAUUGAAUCAAAAAGUGUGAACAUUUUUAUUGCUUUUGAUACAUAAAGCCAUUUAUGUUACUAAAAGAAUAAUGAUCAUUUAAAGUGCCACCCAUAACAUAUAAACAGUCCUAUUUUAAAUCAUAACCUUGAUGGUAGUGGGAGUUAUAUCUUAAAUACUGUGCUGAUUUAAUAGGAACAAAAUGACUUUUUUUUUUUUUUUUUAACAAAAUGACUUCUUGGUUUUAAUCUUUCUCUGAUUGCUGUUGAGAUGAAACUUCCCCCAUGUCUUUAAAAAAAAAUUAUGUUGCCUCAGCUGGGUGUGAUGGUGUGCGCCUGUAAUCCCAGCUACUUGGGAGGCUGAGGCAGGAGGAUCUCUUGAACCCAGGAGGCAGAGGUUGCAGUGAACCAAGACCGCGCCACUGCACUCCAGCCUGGGUGACAGAGCGAGACCCCAUCUCAAAAAAAAAAAAAAAAUUAUGUUGCUUCUUAUGUGAAUUGUCUGUGUUCCUUGCUUCUCUGCUGCGGAGACUUGGCAUUUUUCUUACAAAUGUGUAUGAAUAACGGAUACCUACCCAGGCCUACCCAAUUGAAUGCUUUGAGUUUAAACAUGGGAAUUAAAAGAAAAUUCUACAUGAAUCAUAUAAACAUAUGUCUAAUAAAAAUAACAAAAUUGUAUAGAACUUAUUAUUUGCCAGGCACAAUUCUAAGCACUUUACCAUAACUCCAUGAAAUAUGUAUUACUUUGUUCCCAUUUGAUAGUCCCCUGACUGAUAGUUCUCUAACCUGAGGCAGAAGUCGUCAAGAUACUUGCCUAAGGCCAAAGUGGUAGGGAGCCAGAAUUCAGCACCAGGCACUCUGGCUCCUGAGUCUAUGCAGUGGUGGACUCUAUAUUCAAUCCCUUAUUUGUUAGGAAUAUAAGAAUCCAGGGAAGAAGGAAGCAGGAAAGUACUGUCCCAGAGAGUGAACCAGACAUAGGCACCCAGUCCCAGGGACUCAUAAGACAUUGGAAACAGUAUAUUGGAGCAUCUUGCUUCUCUGAAUUUUGUGCUCGCUAUUUUCUAAUGAAUGAGAAGUAAAUGAACCAAUGGUUUAGUAAUGAGAAGGAUUUUUGAAGGUGUGUGUGUGGCAUUUUUACAGCUAUAUAUUCCAACUGGAACUAUCUUUAUGGUUUGGGGCCAGUGAUAAAAUAUUCUACCAUUUCUCCCAUUCAUUUCUGCUAUUAGAAAUCAUCUCCUGCUUGUGAUUUGGUAGGUUUUGACCAAUGGCUCUGAGAACAUAAAUCUCUGUUUUAUUUGUCAUAGUUGGAAUUAGUGGAUUUAGUUCUGGGGUAUUUCCAACUGGUAUGCUAAAUAGUGAAUUUUCAUAAUUUUGGAUGUCAAAGUAGUAUGAGCAUUUAAAUUGUAUGCUCUGUUGAAUAGGGAAAUAAAUAUGGAGGGGCAGACAGGCAGGAUGAUUUUGUUGAUUUAAAAUUUGUG